rnacentral:rRNA from 1 species
GGUGAACGCUGGCGGUAGGCCUAACACAUGCAAGUCGAACGGCAGCACAGGAGAGCUUGCUCUCUGGGUGGCGAGUGGCGGACGGGUGAGGAAUACAUCGGAAUCUACUCUGUCGUGGGGGAUAACGUAGGGAAACUUACGCUAAUACCGCAUACGACCUACGGGUGAAAGCAGGGGACCUUCGGGCCUUGCGCGAUUGAAUGAGCCGAUGUCGGAUUAGCUAGUUGGCGGGGUAAAGGCCCACCAAGGCGACGAUCCGUAGCUGGUCUGAGAGGAUGAUCAGCAACACUGGAACUGAGACACGGUCCAGACUCCUACGGGAGGCAGCAGUGGGGAAUAUUGGACAAUGGGCGCAAGCCUGAUCCAGCCAUACCGCGUGGGUGAAGAAGGCCUUCGGGUUGUAAAGCCCUUUUGUUGGGAAAGAAAUCCAGCUGGUUAAUACCCGGUUGGGAUGACGGUACCCAAAGAAUAAGCACCGGCUAACUUCGUGCCAGCCGCCGCAGUAA